AUAUUUCCAUCCUAAAUAAUUUCAUAUUUGUUUUAUCUUAGUUUACUGGUAAGACAAAGCUAUUCCCUGGUCGCUCGGUAAUUCUUGUUGGAUUUUUAGAGGUCUGUUUCUACACGUAUCUUUUAUAUCAUCAUCUGUUUCUACACAUUUUCUACAUCAUGGAUGAUAUCAUUUUAGUGAUAGGAUUGUAAUGUGAAUGGGACGUCUCCCACUUCUCUCCCCCCAUAUAGCCCAAAAGAUUGCCAUCAUUACUAUCUUUCCCACCCCUAUCUCCUUUUGUCUUCAGACCACCUGUAGGACAAGCUGGUAGGAGUCGAACCAUCCAACCCGGCAUCACCCGAGGAGAUCCAAAGGAGAUGACCGCCCUUUCUAGUAGGAUCGCUGUAGAUAUCAAUUCCCUACAAACAUUGCAUAGAUUGUUGCAUGGUGCUUGCUCUGAACUAGUCAAUUUACAUAAGAUAGUAGCUCAUAAGGAUUUCUAGCUUCACAGAUUCAAUCUGAUCAAAAUAUAGGUCUUUGGAAAACCCUUCUUUGUGAUGGCACCUAAAAUCUAGGUGUUCCUACCAGUAGCUUGCAUUCAAGUAGAACUCUCUGGAACAUCGAUGGCGUGUUCUUGGGUGACUGGCUGAAUUUCUGCGCCGCUGGUUGUGUUUCAGUUCAGGAUGCAUUUGAUUUGUGUGUGUUUGUCUUUUGUUUUGUUUUGUAUCUUGUUAGCUGUGGAGUGACAAUAGGGUCACCUUCUUCUGUGCUUUUUUUUCCCCCUUAAUGAUUCCGUCAAUAAAAUAAAAUAAAACUAAGUGAUAUUAUUAUUGGUGCAGGUGAAUGUUAACUUGGCUGGACUGCCUGCACUGGUGCUGCCAUGUGGAUUGAUUGAAGGUGGACCUGCCAGCCUUCCUGUUGGACUUCAAAUGAUUGGUGCUGCCUUUGAUGAGGUCCAUUCUCGGUUUUCAACAAACACUUUUCGGUGAUGGUCUUCUAAAAUGCAAGGAACUGGGCUUGUCAAAGAAUGAGAUGAAGAAGCUUCUACCCAUCAUUGAUGCCAGCUCUUCAGAUUCAGGUGACCUUAUGCUUACCAAACAUUUUUUAAUAGAUGUGUGUUGGUGGGCAUAGGCCAAGUUCUGUCUCUCUGCUUCUAUGUGCGUGCACAAAUACAUGUGCAUGCUCGUGAUUGUGUCUAUGUGCACACGGAUUUAAAUAUGAAUGCACUAAUGUUUAAUUGCAUAUUUCAAGCUUGGAGUUUUCUGAAUUGUAUCUGUGAUUGUUUUUAGAACAUUUGAUGGCGUCUCGGAGCUUAUGGUUCAUGCUGGUAGAAGUCUGCCUAAAGCUAUCAUGAUGAUGAUACCUGAGGCGUGGCAAAAUGUUAAAAACAUGGAUCGUGAUAGAAAAGCCUUAUACGAAUAUUUUUCACCUCUUAUGGAGCCAUGAGAUGGACCUGCACUUAUAUCAUUUACUGAUGGCCGCUAUCUUGGAGCGACAUUGGACCGGAAGGGAUUGCGCCCCAUUCGCUUUUACAUCACACAUAGUGGGCGCGUGAUCAUGGCCAGUGAGGUUAGUGUUGUAGACAUCUGUCAGGAGAUGUGGCUAGGAAAGGAAGACAUUUGAUCGGUCCAGAAGGCGACCUUACUAAAACAGUUCAUGUGGAAGGCUAUGUGGCAGUUCAUGUGCAUUUGUAUUUUAUUUUGAAAAAAUUAAAUAGACCAUUAAUUGUUUUGUUGAUAUUGUGCAGAAUUGUUGUCUUGAUGAAUGUUAAAUGGGUGAAAUAUGCAUAGGUUCAA